UACAGAGGGUGCGAGCGUUGUUCGGAAUUAUUGGGCGUAAAGGGCGCGUAGGCGGUGCGGUAAGUCACCUGUGAAAUCUCCUGGCUCAACUGGGAGCUUGCAGGCGAAACUGGCGUGCUGGAGUGUGGGAGAGGUGCGUGGAAUUCCUGGUGUAGCGGUGAAAUGCGUAGAUAUCAGGAGGAACACCUGUGGCGAAAGCGGCUCACUGGACCACAACUGACGCUGAGGCGCGAAAGCUAGGGGAGCAAACAGG
rnacentral:rRNA from 1 species